rnacentral:rRNA from 1 species
GAUGAACGCUGGCGGCGUGCCUAAUACAUGCAAGUCGAGCGUGAACCCUGCGAAUGAAACUUCGGUCGAUUUUGCAGGGGGAAAGCGGCGGACGGGUGAGUAACGCGUAGGUAACCUGCCCCAUACUGAGGGAUAGCCUCGGGAAACCGGGAUUAAUACCUCAUAACACCGUAUAUUCGCAUGGAUGUGCGGUCAAAGAUUUAUCGGUAUGGGAUGGGCCUGCGUCUGAUUAGCUGGUUGGUGGGGUAACGGCCUACCAAGGCGACGAUCAGUAGCCGACCUGAGAGGGUGAUCGGCCACAUUGGAACUGAGACACGGUCCAAACUCCUACGGGAGGCAGCAGUGGGGAAUAUUGCACAAUGGGCGAAAGCCUGAUGCAGCAACGCCGCGUGAGCGAAGAAGGCCUUUGGGUCGUAAAGCUCUGUCGGGUAGGAAGAUAAUGACGGUACUACCCGAGGAAGCCCCGGCUAACUACGUGCCAGCAGCCGCGGUAAUCAUA